rnacentral:rRNA from 1 species
AACAAACGCUGGCGGCGUGCCUAAUACAUGCAAGUCGAACGGGGAAAGCUUCGGUGAGUACUAGUGGCGCACGGGUGAGUAAUACAUGGGUAAUCUGCCUUGGAGUGGGGGACAACUAGUCGAAAGAUUAGCUAAUACCCCAUAUGACCACAUUAUCUGCGGAUAAAGAGGUGAAAGUUUUUCGCUCCAAGAUGAGCCCAUGUGAGAUUAGCUAGUUGGUGAGGUAAUGGCUCACCGAGGCUACGAUCUCUAGCUGGUCUGAGAGGAUGAUCAGCCACACUGGAACUGAGACACGGUCCAGACUCCUACGGGAGGCAGCAGUAGGGAAUAUUGCGCAAUGGGGGAAACCCUGACGCAGCGACGCCGCGUGAGUGAUGAAGGCCUUCGGGUCGUAAAGCUCUGUUGCAAGGGAAAAAUCAAUGAUCGUACCUUGCGAGAAAGGAUCGGCUAACUUCGUGCCAGCCGCCGCGGUAA